rnacentral:lncRNA from 1 species
GCGUCUUUUAGAUCUCUCCUGUAGAUGUUUUCCUUCUCAUAGAUCUCUCAUCGCGGCCUGCCGUCAGUCUCCACCGUCACUUUUCUCCUUAUCGUCACCACGGCUAUCCCUUCCGAUCUCUCUCAUUACCUCCUUCAGGUAGUGGUUUCCUUCCCAUAUAUCUCUAAAAAAAGAGAGGAGGCCGACAACCUCCCUGUUCUCCCGUCGAUCUCUGCCGUCGCUCUUCUCUCGAUCCUCAUCGGCGUUGGGCUUCCUUCUUGAAUCUCCUACAGGUGCUUUCCUUCCCACAGAUCUCUUGCCGCGGCCUACCACC